AAUACAUUGUGUUGUGAUGUUGUAGCAUUCUUAACUUUGCAUUUCUCUCAUAGUUAAUGUUGGCACUGAGCAGUCGACAUGUCAAGAACAAUGUGUUUACUUCUUGUUGUUACACUGUUCUUUGAAAAAAUUCAGACGAAGAUAGAUACACUCGACAAAAAAACAAUUGAUGGCAUGAUUUUGAAAAUGCUUUGGGAGAAAGUGUUCGGCCAGUAUGAUGCUAAGUCAAAAGAAUUAGCCAUAAAGAAAAUACGUAAUGGAGGCGACUACGACACACUAGUUAAACACCUUACGAAAGUACAAAAGGAUAAAGCGAAAAAAAUUAUUAAUUUGGUAGCCGAAGUUAUGUUAGUGUACAUGAGCUGAAUAAAAAGUUAAAAAAUCAC